GGCCUUAUGGUCUAGUAGCAUGAUUCCUCGUUUGGGCUAUGUAAGCAUUUGCUUAUGUAAUAUCUUCGAGGAGGUCCUGGGUUCAACUCCCAGUGAGGCCC